AUUUAGACCAAAAUUCUGUUUUUCCCCUGUUGCAGGGAGAGUGUCCAACAGUUGCAUCUGUGCUUUGACAUCAGCUAACCAGCCGUUAGCUGUCACCUGAUGUUUGCUGAGUUGUCGUCACAGCACACAGCAUCAGAAAUGGACCCUCUUCCCCAUGGUCUGAGGAAUGAAUCUGGUAUGCAGAUUCGCUCCAAGUCACCAGCAGAAACAAGCCGGCUACUUGAGGAAGACUUUACUCUUAUUAUGUAAAUGAUUUGAAACAAUAAAGAAUAAAAAAUGCCUACA